rnacentral:rRNA from 1 species
GAAUAUUGGACAAUGGGGGCAACCCUGAUCCAGCAAUGCCGCGUGAGUGAUGAAGGCCUUCGGGUUGUAAAGCUCUUUUGGCGGGGACGAUGAUGACGGUACCCGCAGAAUAAGCCCCGGCUAACUUCGUGCCAGCAGCCGCGGUAAUACGAAGGGGGCUAGCGUUGUUCGGAAUUACUGGGCGUAAAGGGCGCGUAGGCGGUUUGAAUCGUCGGAUGUGAAAGGCCUGGGCUCAACCUGGGAACGGCAUUCGAUACGGUCAGACUGGAGUGUGGGAGAGGUUGGUGGAAUUCCCAGUGUAGAGGUGAAAUUCGUAGAUAUUGGGAAGAACACCGGUGGCGAAGGCGGCCAACUGGACCACAACUGACGCUGAGGCGCGAAAGCGUGGGGAGCAAACAGG